rnacentral:rRNA from 1 species
UGGGGAAUAUUGCACAAUGGAGGGAACUCUGAUGCAGCGACGCCGCGUUAGUGAUGAAGGAAUUCGUUUCGUAAAACUCUGUUCUAUGGGAAGAAAAGGACUGUACCAUAGGAGAAAGCUCCGGCUAAAUACGUGCCAGCAGCCGCGGUAAUACGUAUGGAGCGAGCGUUGUCCGGAAUUAUUGGGCGUAAAGGGUGCGCAGGCGGCUUUACAAGUUGGAUGUGAAAUAUUGUGGCUCAACCACAAACGUGCAUCCAAAACUGCAAAGCUUGAGUUAAGGAGAGGUAAGUGGAAUUCCUGGUGUAGCGGUGGAAUGCGUAGAUAUCAGGAGGAAUACCGGUGGCGAAGGCGACUUACUGGACUUAAACUGACGCUCAGGCACGAAAGCGUGGGGAGCAAACAGG